rnacentral:rRNA from 1 species
GAUGAACGCUGGCGGCGUGCCUAAUACAUGCAAGUCGAACGCUUCACUUCGGUGAAGAGUGGCGAACGGGUGAGUAAUACAUAAGUAACCUGGCAUCUACAGGGGGAUAACUGAUGGAAACGUCAGCUAAGACCGCAUAGGUGUAGAGAUCGCAUGAACUCUAUAUGAAAAGUGCUACGGGACUGGUAGAUGAUGGACUUAUGGCGCAUUAGCUGGUUGGUAGGGUAACGGCCUACCAAGGCGACGAUGCGUAGCCGACCUGAGAGGGUGACCGGCCACACUGGGACUGAGACACGGCCCAGACUCCUACGGGAGGCAGCAGUAGGGAAUUUUCGGCAAUGGGGGAAACCCUGACCGAGCAACGCCGCGUGAAGGAAGAAGUAAUUCGUUAUGUAAACUUCUGUCAUAGAGGAAGAACGGUGGAUAUAGGGAAUGAUAUCCAAGUGACGGUACUCUAUAAGAAAGCCACGGCUAACUACGUGCCAGCAGCCGCCGCCG